UUGGCCCAGUUUGUUAGCCGGGAAAAAAUCAGACUGUUCAAAGCGAACAGAUAAACGGCCUGCCACCGAAUUCAUUAUCAUGGGAUAAUGGAAUAGGAUCCUGUCCUCCUAUUUUCAGUUCGUUUUGUUUUCAUCGAGGUUAUAUCAGGGUAAUGUUUAAUAGGGAUAGUUCGGGGCAUUAAUAUUUAAUUGCCGGAGGUGAAAUUCUUGGAUUUAUGAAAGAUUAACUCUGCGAAAGCGUUUGCCAAGGAUGUUUUCAUUAAUCAAGAACGAAAGUUAGGGGAUCGAAGACGAUCAGAUACCGUCGUAGUCUUAACCAUAAACGAUGCCGACCAGCGAUUAGGAGACGUUGAAUACAUG
rnacentral:rRNA from 1 species